AAAGUGACAGAACAUCAGAGUGCCAGAAGCUUCUCAUUUUGUGGCCCUGAAGAAAAAGCUGAGCACAAUAUAAUCAUAUCAAUCAUCUCCAAACCAUGAUGUUUGAGUGAGUCAGUGAAGGUGAAUCCCAGCUGAUGGCCAUGAGAAUGCUGAUUCCACUUGAGAAAAGCAAAUUGUUCUUCUGGAUAUAGUUUGAGACUCCAAAAG
rnacentral:lncRNA from 1 species